UACGGGGAGCAGCAGGCGCGAACACUUUACAAUGCGGGAAACCGCGAUAAGGGAACCCCGAGUGCCAGCAUCAAAUGUUGGCUGUCCAGAUGAUUAAAACUCAUUUGUUAGCAAGGGCCGAGCAAGACCGGUGCCAGCAGCGCGGUAA
rnacentral:rRNA from 1 species